rnacentral:rRNA from 1 species
UACGAAGGGGGCUAGCGUUGUUCGGAUUUACUGGGCGUAAAGCGCACGUAGGCGGAUAUUUAAGUCAGGGGUGAAAUCCCGGGGCUCAACCCCGGAACUGCCUUUGAUACUGGGUAUCUCGAGUUCGAGAGAGGUGAGUGGAAUUCCGAGUGUAGAGGUGAAAUUCAUAGAUAUUCGGAGGAACACCAGUGGCGAAGGCGGCUCACUGGCUCGAUACUGACGCUGAGGUGCGAAAGCGUGGGGAGCAAACAGG